rnacentral:rRNA from 1 species
GACUACCGGGGUAUCUAAGCCUGUUUGCUCCCCACGCUUUCGCGCCUCAGCGUCAGUAUCGGUCCAGAGAGCUGCCUUCGCCAUUGGUGUUCUUCCCAAUAUCUACGAAUUUCACCUCUACACUGGGAAUUCCACUCUCCUCUCCCGAACUCUAGCACACCAGUCUCGAACGCAGUUCCCAGGUUGAGCCCGGGGCUUUCACGCCCGACUUGAUGCGCCGCCUACGCGCCCUUUACGCCCAGUCAUUCCGAACAACGCUAGCCCCCUUCGUAUUACCGCGGCUGCUGGCACGAAGUUAGCCGGGGCUUCUUCUCCCACUACCGUCAUCAUCGUCGUGGGCGAAAGAGCUUUACAACCCGAAGGCCUUCAUCACUCACGCGGCAUUGCUGGAUCAGGGUUGCCCCCAUUGUCCAAUAUUCCCCACUGCAGCCACCCGUAGG